GGACUGUGGCUCAGGGCAGCUAGGCUCCAGAUCCCCGGCUUUCAGCCCAAGAGAGAGGGCGGGGCGCGAUGAAGUCGCCGAGGUCCGCCGCCUCCUCCAGGAAGCCUUCGGAGAAAUCCCGGGCCUGCGGGAACCUGUUUGUUGAAAGAAAGCCCCGCCCUCUGCAUUCUUUGCAGCUGGCUGCUUCAUGGCAGCCCUGGCCAGGAUCUCCCAGAACACCUUUCAUGGUUUAACCUAUCCACCACAACCUCAUUUUACUGAGAACUCUGAAGGCUGGAAAUUCUGCUAGCCACACAGAUCUGGCCGCGAGUCUCCAGAUCUCAGGAAAACAGCUACCAAGUCUAUGUAGUGUCCUCAAGAAUGAGGAGACCCCUCAGGGCAUGGCCAUCAGAGCAGAACCUCAACCACUCUGGGACAAGAAGAGAGACCGUAUCUGUUAAAACAGCCACCUCUCGGGCUGAUGAAAUGGCUCAGCAGUUAAGAGCGCCGACUGUUCUUCCAAAGGUCCUGAGUUCAAAUCCCAGCAACCACAUGGUGGCUCACAACCAACCGUAACAAAAUCUGAUGCUCUCUUCUGGAGUGUCUGAAGACAGCUACAGUGUACUUACAUAUAAUAAAUAAAUAAGUAAAUAUUAAAAUAAAAACAGCUGCCUCUCA